rnacentral:rRNA from 1 species
UGUUCCUGCAGUUAUUCGAUGCUCGUAGUUGGAUUUCUGGGGGCUGAGAUUGGAAGGUGGCCAAGGUCACCGCCGAACUCUUCCUUCAUCCACCUGUUAACGUUGCCCGGGAUUUGUUUCUCGGCUUCAGGCUCAGGUAUUUUACCCUUUCUAUAUAUUCAUUUAUUUAUCUUCUUUUUGAGUAAAUUAUAGUGUUUCAGGCAGGCGUGCGCCGGAAUACUUUAGCAUGGAAUAAUCGAAUUGGACCGUGUAUUCUUAUAGAAUUCUUCCUUAUUUGUUGGUUUCAAGGACACGGAAAUGGUUAAUAGGGAUAGUGUUUUCAGGGGAGGCAUUAGUAUUUAAUUUCCAGAGGUGAAAUUCUUUGAAAUAUUAAAGACUAACUUAUGCGAAAGCAUUUAUUUUGCCAAUAAUGUUUUCAUUAAUCAUUGAACGAAAGUUAGGGGAUCAAAGACGAUCAGAUACCGUCCUAGUCUUAACCAUAAACGUUGCCGACUAGGGAUCGGAGGGCGUGCACAUUCCGCCUUCGGCACCUUACGAGAAAUCAAAGUCUUUUGGGUUCUGGGGGUAGUAUGGUCGCAAGGCUGAAACUUAAAGGAAUUGACGGAAGGGCACCACCAGGAGUGGAGCUUGCGGCUCAAUUUGACUCAACACGGGAAAUCUUACCAGGUCCAGACAUAGCGAGGAUUGACAGAUUGAUAGCUCUUUCUUGAUUCUAUGGGUAUUUAUUUUAGUUUUGGUGGUGCAUGGCCGUUCUUAGUUGGUGGAGUGAUUUGUCUGGUUAAUUCCGUUAAACGAACGAGACCUCAGCCUGCUAAAUAGUUACCUGUCUCUCUUUUACGAGACUUGAUAACUUCUUAGAGGGACGUUGUGUGCAACCACAAGGAAGUUGAGGCAAUAACAGGUCUGUGAUGCCCUUAGAUGUCCUGGGCCGCACGCGUGCUACACUGAUACGUACAACAAGGUAUAUGCAUUUAUGCAUCGAUGCUGCUCCGAAAUAGACACAGCUAAAUCUUCUAAAAUACGUAUCGUGCUGCGGAUAGAUCGUUGAAAUUAUGGAUCUUGAAGGUGGAAUUCCUAGUAAGCGCGGGUCAUCAACCCGCGUUGAUUACGUCCCUGCCCUUUGUACACACCGCCCGUCGCUCCUACCAAUUUCGAGUGGCUCGGUGAACCUCUUUGGACUGUCGAGCAAUCGCGAAAUUAGAGUGAACCUGGUCAC